rnacentral:lncRNA from 1 species
AUGUACGAUAGAAGUGCAAGAAGACAUGAGUAUUGCAGAAAUGAAACAGAUCGUUUCCAACAAUCUUCAAAUCCCUGUGGCCAGUCAAAACUAGUUUACCUUGGGAAACCAUUGAGUAAUGAAAAACGUGUGAGGGAUUAUCCACAAAUUAAGGAUGGAUCAAAAUUGAUUUGCACUGUUCUACCAUCAACAGUCACUCAGAAGCAGCCGGACGACCAGAAUGUUCUCAAAAAUGCAAUGUACAAAUUCCUGACAAUUAUUAUAGCGCAGCAGAUGCCUUGAAAAUCCUCACACCGUUCAUGAAAGAAAUGGAUACAUCCAUGUCUAGUUUAAGUCUUGACGACCUCGAACGAUUUGCUGUAACUUAUGGCAGUGAAGAAAAGCUGACCACUUGAUCCAAGGAUACUUUUUGACAGCCUAAAGCAUCAGCUUAAUGUUUACAAUUUUUUAUCAAUUAUCAUCAUGUACAGUUGUAAAAUAGUUAUUCAUAUAGAAUAUUAGAAUAUUUGAUAUUCCAUGUACACUAUAGACGUACUUUUUUUAUUUCUCUUUCUAUCUCUAUGCUCAUAUGAUUUGCUCAUGUGUUCGUAAAUCUUCGGUACUGAAGUGGUUGUGGCUGAUUAGCCUGACAGCUACUCAUCUUGUUUUAUUUGUUUGUUUUAGUUACUAAAUAAACGUAAACUUUUCCCAAUUUUUACUUCUUUGUUUAAUUUGCUCUUUCCUGACAACCAGAAAAUGACGUCCAAACAAUUAUUUUAUUUUGACCAUUUGACUAGUCAUUUGGUUAAUGAUUCUCAGUUAAAUGAGUCUCAAAACUCAUCAUCUCCCAGAGCAAGUAUCACAAUAGCCUGUCUCCAGAAUAUCAAUGUAAAAUUGAGGGGGAGGGGGAGGAUGGUUUAACCAUGGCUGUUUUAAGCACAUCAAAGUCUUGAACUAAGUACAUGUUCAGAAUCGCUCUUGUCUGCCUUUGAUAAAAUCCCAAAUAUGAUUCAAGUUAUGUGACCAUUUCGGCGGUUGCAAUACCCUGUUUUGAGACCUCCUGGCGCCUGUAAUAACCGUGUUUUUUUUUAUUUUCAAAGCUAUUUUUAAUGAGACCACAUUUAUUGUAGGAGCGCAAGAAACUUUUUCCCCAAAAAUUAAGACUAGAUUCAACCAAGGUCUAAGGAGCAUAAAUAAAAUGGUCCAGCGUGAUCACUACGCAACUGUCAGAGACCUCUCUUCCGAGCUGAAGUUAAUCAGGGACUCUCUAGAAUUGUAUCUAGCUAUUAAGUAUAAGCUUGAGGAUAUUUAGUCUAAAUAUAAAUCAUACAUGAUCAAUGUUAAGUCAGAUUCAAUCAAGUCAAUGGUUAAAAAGUCGAAUAAUGUAUCCAAGGAUUCCUGGAGAAUUAUUAAUGAUCAUAGACCUACCAAAAUGAUGGGUAGCAUUAUUCAUAGUAUUGCUAAGGACGGCAAGGAAAUUGAUAACAUGACAGAGAUUGCUAACACAAUGAAUACCUAAUUUCUUUGCUUCAAUUAUGGCACAAAGUUCUAGCAUGAUUCCAACACCUUCUAAUUAUGACUACAUACCUCAAUGCAGCAGCCGCUUUUAUCCCAAUCCUGUCAACUCUGGGUCGGUCGAAUUAAUUAUUGAUAAAUUAAAAAAUAAAACAUCUGAAGACCAUCUUGGUUGUCUCAUGCCUUUGUUAAAAAGAUCAAGUAUGAAAUCAACGCCCCCCUGGCUGUAUGCAUUAAUGAUGCCUUUUCCUCUUGCACUUUCCCGAUGUUCUGAAAACAGUUAAAAUAACGCCUCUGUUCAAAAGCGGUAAUCGACUAGAUGUAAAUAACUACAGACCACUUGCGCAAAUUUCGCCGAUCUCUUAAGUCUACGAGCAUGCUUUAUGUAAACAAAUCAACAAAUUUAUUCAAACAAAUAACCUGCUGUAUAAACAUCAAUAUGGCUUUCGACCAAAAGUCAGUACCGAAAAUGCCAUCGCUCGUUGUCAUGACCUUCUCACCAACAACAAGAAAUUAUAUUCAGUUGCGGUGGCAGUAGACCUAAAGAAGGCUUUUGACUCCGUCCACCAUGGCCUCUUGAAAAUCAAACUACAGAAAUUUGGCCUUAGUGAACCAGCUAUUAGUCUUAUACAGGGUUAUCCAAAAGUCA